CUCGAGGUUUGGAACAAAUAAACUAAAGUAUCCUAUCCAUAGUCUUGUUGUAUUCGACUCUGAGAAUAAGGCUAUUCCAGUUGCUUGGAUAAUUGCACCACGGUUUUCCAGUGGAGAUGCAUAUAGAUGGAUGAGAGCACUUUGUAACCGAGUCUAUGCCAAGGAUCCCUCCUGGAAGGUGGCUGGGUUCAUAGUUGAUGAUCCUUUUGCUGACAUAACAACGAUCAGGGAUGUAUUUCAAUGCCCGGUCUUGCUUUCCUUUUGGCGUGUUCGCCAUGCAUGGCAUAA